CUCAGGUAUGCCCAGGUGUUUUCUGAGGGUACGCGACGGGUUUUGGAGGGUACCCUCCACUCCUGAGACAGAUGUACCGAUCCAGACUGAAGGAAAAAGAUUGUAACCGGUGCCCAUCUGGGCCUAGAGCUCCAGAGAGACAAGUCCUGGACGGUAACAGUCCUACAGAGACGGAGAAAACACCACUGACUGCCAAAACACAGCCUUCCAGAGGCCCUGGAUCAGCCACUUCCUCAUCUUCGCCAAGACUCUGAGCCAGCGUUUACACAAGUUCCCACUGGUGACAGAUCUGGAACAUUAGACCUUCUGAUUUCAAUGCCCUUGGACUUGUGCCUCAAUACUACAUCUUCAUUGAGGGAACAGGAAGUAGAGCAUCCCAGACAGCAACAGCUUACUGUGGGCUAAGACGGGUGGAACAGACCCUGACCAUCUGUUGUGAGGCAGAAUGUUUCCUGUGGACUCAGCUCUGCUUCUGCCUUUGGGGUGUUCAGACACUGUCUAACACCAGGCCCAAGAGAAAGGAACAAAGUUUGCUCGGCUGAGUAAUGGUGUUUACUGGUGUUUAUGCUCCUACAACCAUGUCUUUCUGCUGAAUCGCCCCUACUCCUUGCUUCUGUCAGAAUAUUUGUCUACGUGCCUACUCCAGAAUUAAAAAGAUGCUAACAGUG